CUUCUACUUGACACAAAGUCGAUCUUGUGCUGGUGAAUUUUUGGCCCCCGACGUUCAGAAGUAUGAUAUCAUCGUCGCUAACGUCGACUGCUUUCAUUCUUUGCUUCUCGGCCUGAUACGCUUCCAUUUCCGCUUUCAUUUUAGCCCUUUCACUUUCUACAAUUUCUUUAAAUUCCUCCUUAAAUCGUUUGAUUAAAUCAUCAAAAUUCGAUAGCAAAUCAGUGCAGCUCAUUUUGUGACUUUGUAAAUAUACACUAGGAAUGAUUUUCAGCUUUGUAACACAGCUUUAAAUGUAUGUAACAAGUGAAGCU